GAUGAACGCUAGCGGCAGGCCUAACACGUGCAAGUCGAGGGAGAGGUUAUCUUCGGGUAACCAAAACCGGCGCACGGGUGCGUAACGCGUAUACAAUCUGCCUUUCACAUAGGGAUAGCCCGAAGAAAUUUGGAUUAAUACCUAAUGGUAUAUAAGAGCGGCAUCGUUUUUAUAUUAAAGCUACGGUGGUGAAAGAUGAGUAUGCGUUCUAUUAGCUAGUUGGAGAGGUAACGGCUCCCCAAGGCGACGAUAGAUAGGGGUUCUGAGAGGGAUGUCCCCCACACUGGUACUGAGAUACGGACCAGACUCCUACGGGAGGCAGCAGUGAGGAAUAUUGGACAAUGGUCGGAAGACUGAUCCAGCCAUGCCGCGUGCAGGAUGAAGGUCCUAUGGAUUGUAAACUGCUUUUGUAAGGGAAGAAUAAGGAGUACGUGUACUUUGAUGACGGUACCUUACGAAUAAGCAUCGGCUAACUCCGUGCCAGCAGCCGCGGUAAUACGGAGGAUGCGAGCGUUAUCCGGAAUCAUUGGGUUUAAAGGGUCCGUAGGCGGGCUGAUAAGUCAGAGGUGAAAGCGCUUAGCUCAACUAAGCAACUGCCUUUGAAACUGUCAGUCUUGAAUGAUUGUGAAGUAGUUGGAAUGUGUAGUGUAGCGGUGAAAUGCUUAGAUAUUACACAGAACACCGAUAGCGAAGGCAUAUUACUAACAAUUUAUUGACGCUGAUGGACGAAAGCGUGGGGAGCGAACAGG
rnacentral:rRNA from 1 species